UGCGGUAGCUCAGUGGUAGAGCACUUCAUUGGUAAUGAAGAGGUCGAGAGUUCAAUCCUCUCUCGCA
rnacentral:tRNA from 1 species